rnacentral:lncRNA from 1 species
GCCUCUUAACAUUUCUGUUUUAGAAUAUCAUCAUGUUCUGGUGAACUGGAAUUGUGAUGAAAGGAGUUUGGAUAAGAAGUAAAUUGGGGCAAGCUAGCCUGCUUUCCACCAGAGCAUCUCCCUCCAAAGAUGCAAGUGUGUGGAAAUGAGACUGCAGGGAGAACUUCCAGGCAACAAAGGAUGUUUCUCUACUUAUCUCCUCCCUGGAUGGCUGUAUAAGCCAGAUGACGGCUACCUGAACACUCUAGAAAAAGUGAAUUCACAGAGGCUUUCACAGGGCACAGCCUCGCAGUCUGGAGGGAGAAGAGGGCAAAGCAGUCUUCACGGAUGCCACCUACUGCCUAGCUGGGCAGAGAGCCAGUGGAUCAGAGAGGCCGGCUCUGUUCUUGGCAGGAAAUGAGGGGCUGGCAUGGAAAUGCCACCCAGGCUGGGAACAAGAUCUGUGGAGUGGCAGCCUGAGUGGGUGAGCUUGAUCUGCAGUCCUUUCAUCUCAAAGAGAAUGGCCAGCAAGGAGCCCAUUCAUGGAGCCUUGUUGGACAACUCCACCUACACAGUCUUCAGUGGUGCUCUGGAGAACAGAAGCUGACAACAGGCUAUGGUGAUCCAGAGUCCUCACCGUCUACUCUCCCAUCCCUUCAACCAAACUUUCCUGGGCAACUCUGAUGCCAGGCAUUUCUAGCACUGUGACAGAACCUGGUGGAGGACAGAGGGCUCCACUUCAAAGGAGCAUGAAGGCAUGUGUUGGUAAUGGAACCACAAGAUCAAACUGGCCUGAAUCCCUGAGUCAUCACAUGGAGGACAGCUGCCUACAAGAGUCUCCUGACCUAUAGUGGGCUCUGGAUGAGUGAGAAGUAUAAUAAAAUGUGUGCAUUAAUUACAGACCUUUUUGGCUUCUUUGUUAGUACAGCUAGACCUAUAACAUCCUGAUUAAUAUAUCUUUGUAUAAAGAUCAAUGUGUUGACUAUUAUAUUGAACUAGACACUUUUAAUUAUUGAUUUAAAAUAUAUUGUUGAUUUAAAAUGACCUAUAUUCUCUAAGAGUGAGCAGAAAAAUUGGAGAUUUUACCCAGUUUCAAGGGACUGAACAAGCUCUGAAUAUAUUUAAAGGGCAAUGGCAAACAAAAUAAAAAAAUUUUUGAAUAUGUC